UACAGAGGUCUCAAGCGUUGUCCGGAUUUACUGGGCGUAAAGAGCGCGCAGGCGGUCGAUUAAGUCGAAUGUGAAAGCCCCCGGCUCAACUGGGGAGGGUCAUUCGAUACUGAUCGACUUGAAGGCAGGAGAGGGUAGUGGAAUUCCCGGUGUAGUGGUGAAAUGCGUAGAUAUCGGGAGGAACACCAGUGGCGAAGGCGACUACCUGGCCUGUUCUUGACGCUGAGGCGCGAAAGCUGGGGGAGCAAACGGG
rnacentral:rRNA from 1 species